UUUGUUUUGUUUUGUUUUGUUUUCAGAGAGAGAGAGGAGGGGCGGGUAGGGGUAGAGGGAGAUUCUUAAGCAGGCUCCAAGCCCAGUAUAGAGCCCAAUGUGGUGCUUGAUCUCAUGACCCUGAGGUCAUGACUUGAACCAAAAUCAAGAGCUGGGCACUUAACAACUAAAUCACCCAAGCACCCCCUCUCAUUUUUGUUUUGAUUUGCACUGGAUGCAUUGGUCUUUAAAGAGAUAUCACCCUAGGUGGCUCAGUCUGGUCAAGUGUCUGACUCUUGAUUUUGGGUCAGGUCACGAACUCAGGGUUGUGAGAUUGAGCCCUGUGUUGGGCUCUGUGAUGAAUGUAGAGCCUGCCUACCUCUGCCCCUCCCUGAUCACACACCCCCACCUCUUUUUCUCUAAAGAAGAGAAGAAGAAGAAGAAGAAGAAGAAGAAGAAGAAGAAGGAGGAGGAGGAGGAGGAGGAGGAGGAGGAGGAGGAGGAGGAGGAGGAGGAAGAAGAGCAGGAGUGGGAGGAUUGGGGGGGAGAGACAUCACUCUUUGAAUGGACCUCAAGUCAUGUAAUAGUCACUAUCUGGACCAAAGCAGGCAUAUGGGAUAACAGAAUAGCUUUUAGGUGGAAAACCAAUUUCAAAUCCUGGUAGUUUCUGUCUCUGACCCUGGGAAAGUUAGUUAACCAUUUUUUUAAGUUCAGUUUUCUCAUAUGAAAAAUAAAACCAAAAAAGUAAAAAUGGGAACUACAGUAGCUAACACUCAAGGAUUUAUGGUAACCAUAGUUUGUAAAGUCUGUAAUACUGUGUCAGGCAUACGGUAAGCACUAGAAAGCAGUAGAUGUGAAUUUUUUCAUAUACAUGUUGCAAUAUUCUUACUGAUUUUUUAUAUAUUUUAAUUUAGUAGAAAAAAAUAUGGACUUAGUUGCCUACAAAAAUGCUCAGUGAAACGUCCACUUCAGGUCAUAAAACCAAGCUUUGGCCCGUCUUGUAGGCACUUCAUAUUUUAAUUUUGAAUUUCCUGUGAUUCAGAAAGCCUUUAAGUGUGGUCCUGGGGACUGACAGAGCAAAGAUUGAACAAGACAGGAGAGAAGCCCUUUAUAUGCUACUCUCCCUAUGUAUAUACAUCAGUGAAGCAAGGAUCUCAUGGCUGAGAAGCUUGCAAUGAAACCUCCUCGCCUCAUCAUCAUCCGAAGUCCUUGACACAGAAACCCAGAAGCAUUAAAAAGAAAUGAAAAAGGUUGCCCAUGCCUGUCUGAAGUAACUAAGUUACAAGGACCUUUGAGGAUUUUUGUGAGCCACUGAAAUAGGUUUUAGAGGGCUGAAUUUGUAUUUGUCUUUACAUUUUAUUACAUUUUCAUCUGACCACAGCCCCUACAGAUGCAGCUUCAUGCUCCAAGUAGUUCAGCUAGUGAAUUUGAAGAAGGCUCCUGGGAUAGGCAUCUUUUAACACUCAACCGUCUUUUUUUUUCACACUCUUUUCCUCUGGCCUCUCAAGGAAUCAUUUUCUUGUGCACUUGAAGGGGCUUUUGUUAAGUGGCCUGGAAGUGAGAUUGCUGAGCAUCAUCUUGGCAAAAUUAAUCCAGGAGUGAAAAUGCCAAAAGGGAACCAGUUGUUUCUAUUCCAAACACUUUUUUUCAGUGUCUGAAUGAGAAAGCAAAAUGCUUCCUGCAAACCUCUCUUGUAACUCUGCUGAGGGUUAUCAAUGCCUCUUUCUUCCAAUCAAGCUUUUCAUCACAGCUGAAGGGAGGCAAGUCCUUAGCAAGCAGGAGACUUAAUCUUACAAUGAAAAAACCAGUUGCCGAUCUCAUCAGUCACUAGUGAAACUGCAAUUGAAUUCUUUAGAAAUUAUACAAGGGAAUCGAUGAUGCGGAGAAAAAAUAAUUCACGAAGUGUUCAAAAUGCACACAGUCACUAGCUUGCUGGGAGAUAAAGGCAUUGUCUCUGGGGUCGGAUGAUGGGGCCUCAGAGGCUACUUUCCUACUUUCCAUUCAUGAGGAUUUGGACAACUCCGUCUCUAUGCUUCAGGUUCCUUGUAUCUAAAUGGGAUUACUUGAACUUCCAUUUUCAGAGUACUCCAUGUAAAUCAUUAACUCAAAUCUCACGACUCAGGAUUUGUGAUAAGUAUAACUGAGAAAAGCGAUAUUUACCUUUAAAUUAUCCUAGAAAAAAAGCUGUUAGCAAGUUUCCAUAUGGAUAAGAUUGUCAGUGUUGUGAUUAAAUUCCUUAGGUGAAAGUUUAUUUUGUCCAUUUAGCAAUCAACAUUAUUUUUGAGGGCAGAGCUCCUCAUGUUUGAGUUAAAUUGAGUCUAUUACUUAGUAACUGUAACUUGGGACAACUUAGUGGCUUCACUAACUGUCAACUUACUACUCUGUAAAAUGAGGAUAACGCUGGUGACUUUGCAUGCCUAAUGGGAUGGCUGUGAAAAACAAAUGGGAGAAUGUAUCUGCACUGCAAAUGAAGAGAUGCUCACACUCAACAAAGACUAAGUUAUGAUUAUCAGCAGUAAUAAUACGAUAAUGAUGAUGAAUUAAUCUCUCUCAUCAAGCACAUCUAGCCAUGUCCUAUGUUUUUGCUUGCAUUAUGCUUCUGGAUAUACUCGAAAAUAUUAAAACUACAAUUUACAAUAUAGUGUUAAUUCAGAGCUCUAAUUUAUUCUAGUUUAUCUCCUAAUUAAUUAUUAAUGAGGUUUCUUCAUAUCUAAAAUAUGCCCAAAUAUGGUCCUCUGUAGUUGACUGAAUUGCUGCUCAAAAUAUUUGCUGCCUCCCUGCUCUGAGGGUUGUUUUCCCUGAGGAAGGAUUAUGUACAUGCUGUCAUGUACCUGAGUGGCCAUGUGAUUUACCGUGCCAAUAAAAUGUGAGUAAAUGCAACAAAUGUCAUUUCCAAGACAAAUUUUGUGUACAAGCUCAUGGUUUUCAAUGCCCCUUUUUUCCUCUCUGUCACCAAACUGCCAAGGCCCCAGACAGAGGCUGCUUUGUCAGCUUGGGUCCCAGAGAAGAGAUGGCAUAGCAUGGGGCUACACAUAACCCAUAAUGAACAUAUGAUAUAAGCUAGAGAUAAAUUCUGAAAAUGAAGUCAUUCAGACUUUGAGAUGGAAUACAGAGCUGGUCAAGCCACUCCCGCCUAAAACACUUCACCCUCACCCAUGGUAUAUCGUCCAAAUUCCAUAGCAAGAUGUUUUCCAAUUCUUGGGCCUGUAUUCCAGACAACCUGUCCACAGCCUCAUUGCCUUUACUCCCACAUACUCACACUACCACAUCUAGUAAUUUCAGACUGCUUCUAGCUUUCGGAAAGUUUCAUGUUGCAAAUGGGUCUGUCUACUCCUCACCUUCUAUAAUCCCAGACUCACAUUUUUCUUGCAAAAUCUAGCUCAAAUCGUUCUUUCUUUGGGAAGUUGGACCCUGCACCCCUUGAUCCUGGUAGAGAUAAAUAAUCUAUCCCCUAUAUUCUUUCUGUCUCUGUGUUUUCUUUAUAAAUACACUUAGCACAAGAUACUAAAAGUACAAUGUCUUAACUCCAUGAGACCAGAUCCAGGAUCAUAUUUACUUUUCGUUUCCUGAUGAUCCCUGGAACAAUGCAGACAUUCAAUAAAUAUCAAUUUACAUUGCCUUCAUUUAUUUUAAAGUGAGGGAAAUUUAAACACAAACCAUAUGUUUUAAAUGGAGGAACCAGAUUUUGUGGCCUGAGGAGGUUCAUACUUCUUUGUAUGUCUCAGUUUUUCUCUCAGGAAUAAAUAUUUUUAAAUAUCAGAAAGUGCUCUAAAGUUAUCAUGAAGCACUAAAAGUAGAAGUUAUUAAUCAUCUUCAAGCUUAUUUACAAACAUAUUUCAUUAGCUCCCUCUAAGUCCCACUGGGCAAGAAUUAAUAGGAUUUUAUUGACAGAAAUCUUUUAAAAAGAGAGUUGUCUCAUUUGAAAAUCAAAUUAAUGUGUCACAAUGUAGAUGAAAUGUUCUAACCUUUUAAAAUUCUAUUUCAUCUAUUUUAGUUCAGUGACAUGUACCUACCCUUAUAAUAUCCUUCUGAACCUGGUAUUUAUACGAGCAACUCUCCAGAGUUAAAUUAGUCAUAUAUUUGGGAGAAAAGAUGAGAAUUUUCCAUGUCACAGCCUUGUAGGAAACUUGUACACAGGGAUGACUUUCCAAACUCUACUGAGAAUCUCUAUUUUAAAAUAAAAAUGCUACCACUAUAUACCCUUAAAAUAUUUCUGUGAAAGACUAGCAUUAUAAUGUCCACUUUAGAGAUGAGGAAACUGAGGCUCAGUUUACACUAAGAAUUCAACACAAGUGAGAUGUGCAAUGUGACAAGUUUGGGGUCAGACACAAGAGAUUAAAAGAAUGGCACUGGGCUCAGAUCUCUAUUCUCAGGUUUCUAGUGCAGUGAGGAGAGUACCUCACAAAUUAAGAAAACAAUUAUUUCGGUGAGAGUUAUAAAAGGUAUGACACAAGUAGUAGAGGUAUAGAACAGACAGAGCAAGUUAUUUUGCCUGCGGCUGGCUAGGGGAAGGAAAAGGAGUGAUUGAUGUAAAGCUAAAGGAAGCCAAUAUUGGAUUUGAUUUUGAAGUAUAAAUAGUGCCACAUGGACAUGCAAAGAAUACAGCAUGUGCAAGGGUACGGUGGUAAAAUAACACAGUAUGCUUUUCAGAAUUAUGAAUGACUUAUUUCUAAUUCAAACAGCAGGAAGGUAGGUUAUAUAUUGACAAGGGAUCAAGAACAUG
rnacentral:lncRNA from 1 species